UUUGCUAGAUCCAAAAAUCUCUCAGAGAUUUGUUGGUGGGAUGGCAUGAAUUUUAUAGAGAGAGAAAGAGAGAAAUAGAGAGAGAGGAAGAGAGAAAUAGAGAAAGAAAGAGAGAUUCAAAGAUCUUUCAGAGAUUUGUUAGUGGGAUGGCAUAAAUUUUGUAGAGAGAGAUAGAGAGAAAUAGAGAGAGAGGAAUAAAGGGGGAGAAAGAGAGAAAGAAAGCGAGAGUAAGAGAGAGAGAGGGGGAUCGGUUCAGGAGAGAGGGGGCGGUAGGUUUGGGGAGAGAGAGAGGGUCGAUCUCUUUGGUAGAGAGAGAGAGAGAGUCCCAAACCGAGAAGAGAGAGCGGUCAGUUUUUGGGAGAGAGAGAGGGGUGGGAUCAGCCUCCAACCGCCACGUGGAAUAGGGCCAUCUUCUAAUCGCCACGUGUAUUGACUGUUCUGUCAAUUUAAAUAGUUAAAGAUUAAAAGUAAAAAUGUAUAAAAGUUGCCUCCAC
rnacentral:lncRNA from 1 species